GUGCCUACGGGGGGCAGCAGUGGGGAAUCUUCCGCAAUGGGCGAAAGCCUGACGGAGCAACGCCGCGUGAUCGAAUGAAGGCCUUCGGGUUGUAAACUUCUUUUAUCAGGGACGAAGCAAGUGACGGUACCUGAUGAAUAAGCCACGGCUAACUACGUGCCAGCAGCCGCGGUAAUACGUAGGUGGCAAGCGUUAUCCGGAUUUACUGGGUGUAAAGGGCGUGUAGGCGGGAGUGCAAGUCAGAUGUGAAAACUAUGGGCUCAACCCAUAGCCUGCAUUUGAAACUGUACUUCUUGAGUGCUGGG
rnacentral:rRNA from 1 species